GAUGAGUCCAGGGUUGAGGAUGUUCCUCAGCUCACAGCGGUGGAGAAUGAUAUUCUUACGGCUCCUUUCUCCGAGAAAGAGGUUCUGGAGGCCAUUUCGCAAAUGAAAAAUAACAAGGCGCCGGGCCCCGAUGGAUUUCCAGCGGAGUUCUAUAAGAAAUGUUGGCAUAUCAUUAAAGGGGAUUUGUUGCCUUUGUUCAAUGAUCUGUUUGCUGGACAGCUUCAUCUUUUUCAGCUCAAUUUUGGAACGAUCACCCUUCUUCCUAAGAAAACAGAGGCUGUGAGAAUUGAGCAAUUCAGGCCAAUCUGUCUUCUUAAUGUUAGUUUCAAAAUUUUCACCAAGGUCGGGACCAAUAGGCUCACACAGAUCGCACAUGCUGUGGUGCAGCCUACCCAAACUGCUUUCAUGCCGGACAGGAAUAUCCUUGAGGGGGUAGUGGUCCUUCAUGAAACGCUCCAUGAAAUCCACAUGAAAAAGCUGGAUGGGGUUGUUUUCAAAGUGGAUUUCGAAAAAGCGUAUGACAAAGUCAAAUGGCCAUUCCUUCAACAGGCCUUACGUAUGAAGGGUUUUGAUGAGGCUUGGCGACGCCAGGUAGAAUCCUUCACACAAAAAGGAAGUGUUGGAAUUAAAGUAAAUGAUGAUAUAGGGCAUUAUUUCCAGACACACAAAGGCCUGAGGCAAGGAGAUCCAAUGUCCCCUAUUUUGUUCAACAUUGUGGUUGACAUGUUGGCAAUUCUCAUAGGUAGGGCAAAGGAGGCCGGUCAGGUGGGUGCCUUGGUGCCAAACCUAGUUGAUGGGGGUGUGUCCAUUCUGCAGUACGCUGAUGAUACAAUCAUCUUUAUGGAGCAUGACCUGGCAAAAGCGAGAAAUAUGAAGCUGGUGUUAUGCUUAUUUGAACAAUUGACCGGGUUAAAGAUUAACUUUCAUAAAAGUGAGUUGUUCUGCUUUGGUAGAGCCAAGGAGGAACAAGAGGCUUAUAGGCAAUUGUUUGGAUGUGAAUUAGGGGCUAUACCUUUUACUUACUUAGGUAUACCCAUUCACCAUCGUAAGCUAACGAACAAAGAGUGGAAAUGCAUUGAAGAUCGGUUUGAAAAGAAACUUAGUUGUUGGAAGGGAAAACUUAUGUCAUAUGGAGGCCGGUUAAUUCUUAUUAAUUCGGUGCUUACGAGUAUGCCGAUGUUCCUACUAUCUUUCUUUGAAGUUCCAGUUGGGGUUAGGAAAAGGCUGGACUUCUACCGAUCGAGAUUUUUUUGGCAGAGUGAUGAACUUAAGAGAAAGUAUAGACUCGCCAAGUGGGAUGUUAUUUGUCGACCAAAG
rnacentral:rRNA from 1 species